ensembl:lncRNA
AUGUAUUUUUCGAAAUUUUCAUUCCCCAGAACUCACAGAUGCACCAUCAAUCCAGCUGGAGAUUCAAGACCAUAUACAAAAUCGUUUUAUAUCACCAGGACAGAGAAAAGUAGUCGUGAAGUGGGAGUUUUUCAGCCAUAUACAAGAUAUUAUUUCGUCCUGCACACCAGACCGUACCCAGACACCUGCCACAUGAAGAAUUUAAACAACAGUGAGACGACCUAUGGCACAGCCCAAGCUUACUUCACUGAAGGAACCUUCAAAGUGGAUCCCAGCGUAAACAGUUAUGAGCUGCAGAAUCUUGAAAGCAACAGUGCGUACCGCGUGCAGCUGUCUGCAUUUACAGCGGCUGGAGAAGGAGAGCGAAGUGAUUUCAAACACUUUGUCACAAACCUACUAGAAUUCACAGCUUUGAACAGCAUUAUAGCCGCGGUUGUUGUGGGAAUAAUAAUUCUUUUACUAGCAGUUCACCUCAGCUGUCGACUUCUGCACAGACCAAAUCCUGAGAAUAGCAACGCUGUUCAGAAAACUGAAAUUGUCUAUGAUCUGGGUAUCCUGGAGCCACUGAACAGACAGAGGUUAGAGGAAAGUGAGGGAUGUGAUUACACUGCAGUCCAGUACAGUGUUUGUCGUUGGGAGCAAGAGGGAGGCAUCUCCUCUCUGUAGCCCUCCCACUGCUCAGGCUGGUGUGCCCACCACCCUUCUCCUCAGUGAAGAUGAGGACAGCCCAUCCAUCCCGGAGCAGAUCCCACCACCUGACAUCCCAACACAAGUCCUUCAAGGGGCGUUUCUAGGAUUUUCAUUUUAGGGGGGCUCAGCCCCUAACAAGGGUAUGAUUAAAAAAAUAUAUUAUUUGAGGUAGGGUAGGGUAGGGUUGUAUACUACUAACCUUAUUGUAAUCCACUAUUCCAUUGUAUUCCCUGUAUUUCAUAUAUGGGAGUAGGAGUACUGACUGAGCCAUAUACAACACUGUAAAAAAUUUUUGAAAAAUUUAGAUGUGACCAGUCAUUAGAAAAUUUUGAGUUGGGAAUGUAGAUUUUUUUUACAAUGAAGACUUCCUGAUUCAUUAUUAGGACAUUCAUGUUUAUCCUUUGACGAUACCACUGUUUUUUCUUAUGAAAUGUACGUGGAAAUUGGCAGACAAUUAAAACAACAUAAGGGUUCAAUGACUGCAAUUAAUCUUGUGAACACAGUGGUAUUGUGUGUGAGAGGCUGUCUACGUUCUAUUCUCACCUGACUUGCUCAUUUGCAGACCUACUCCCGCACUACAAGAAAAAAUGUUGUAUAUCCAUCUACAAUGAAAUAUAUAUAUAUUAGCCUUUAUAAUCAACAAUACGGUUGGUUAUACAUCAAGUCACCCCCUGAAAAUUUAUUUCAUUUCAAAUCAUUUAACUAACCAGCUAAUAUUCAUUAAGAAUACAGACAAAACAUGUAUUAAUGCAAUUGUCUAUUUGCAAUAUGUUUAAUCUAUUCUAUAUUUAUUUCUAUUUAUUAAAAAUAAUAACAUGAAUUAUCAAUUUGCCACUUCUAUAAAUCAAUUACUUAAAAAAAAAUCACAAAUCCCUUUAAUCUACUCUUACUCUAAUAUAUGUAUCAUGAUACACUAUGAUUCAUUAUUACUUAAUACAAAAAUAUAUUUAAAAAUACAAAACAAAAUAACUCCACAUGAUGUUUCUCUCUCUGUGCCAUUUAGUGCUCUCAGACGUGUGUCUUUAAUCAUUUCUGUGCAUGGCUGCAUAAUGUAAUGCCGAAAUACACAAUAAUAUGUUUUGAAUUUUAAAAAGUAAAUUAAAAUAAAUCACUAUUGUUUUCUAAAGUAUGUUUUCA